AGAGUUUGAUCCUGGCUCAGGAUGCACUGCUAGCGGCAGGCUUAACACAUGCAAGUCGAAGGGCAGCGGGGAGAGUGCUUGCACUCUCCGCCGGCGACUGGCGCACGGGUGAGUAACACGUAUGCAACCUGCCCUCCACAGGGGGACAACCUCCCGAAAGGGAGGCUAAUCCCGCGUAAAUCGGGAGACCGCAUGGUCUUCUGAGGAAAGCUCCGGCGGUGGAGGAUGGGCAUGCGGCGCAUUAGCUUGUCGGUGGGGUAACGGCCCACCGAGGCGACGAUGCGUAGGGGUUCUGAGAGGAAGGUCCCCCACACUGGUACUGAGACACGGACCAGACUCCUACGGGAGGCAGCAGUGAGGAAUAUUGGUCAAUGGCCGAAGGGCUGAACCAGCCAAGCCGCGUGAAGGAAUAAGGCCCUAUGGGUCGUAAACUUCUUUAGUCAGGGAACAAAGGGAGCCACGCGUGGCUCUGUGAGUGUACCUGAAGAAUAAGCAUCGGCUAACUCCGUGCCAGCAGCCGCGGUAAUACGGAGGAUGCGAGCGUUAUCCGGAUUUAUUGGGUUUAAAGGGUGCGUAGGCGGUUUGUCAAGUCAGCGGUAAAAAUUCCGGGCUCAACCCGGUCCCGCCGUUGAAACUGGCGAACUCGAGAGGGAGAGAAGUAGGCGGAAUGCGCAGUGUAGCGGUGAAAUGCAUAGAUAUUGCGCAGAACUCCGAUUGCGAAGGCAGCCUACCGGCUCCUGUCUGACGCUGAGGCACGAAAGCGUGGGUAUCGAACAGGAUUAGAUACCCGGUAGUCCACGCAGUAAACGAUGAAUGCCGGCUGCCCGGGCCGAAUGGGGCCUGGGUGGCGAAGCGAAAGCGAUAAGCAUUCCACCUGGGGAGUACGCCGGCAACGGUGAAACUCAAAGGAAUUGACGGGGGCCCGCACAAGCGGAGGAACAUGUGGUUUAAUUCGAUGAUACGCGAGGAACCUUACCCGGGCUCAAACGGCGGAUGACAGGCGCAGAGACGCGCUUUUCUACGGACAUCCGCCGAGGUGCUGCAUGGUUGUCGUCAGCUCGUGCCGUGAGGUGUCGGCUUAAGUGCCAUAACGAGCGCAACCCCUGCCGACAGUUGCUAACAGGUUAUGCUGAGGACUCUGUCGGGACUGCCGGCGCAAGCCGUGAGGAAGGCGGGGAUGACGUCAAAUCAGCACGGCCCUUACGUCCGGGGCGACACACGUGUUACAAUGGGUGGCACAGAGGGAAGCCAGGCGGCGACGCCGAGCGGAACCCGAAAUCCACUCUCAGUUCGGAUCGGAGUCUGCAACCCGACUCCGUGAAGCUGGAUUCGCUAGUAAUCGCGCAUCAGCCAUGGCGCGGUGAAUACGUUCCCGGGCCUUGCACACAACGCCCGUCA
rnacentral:rRNA from 1 species